CCUACGGGAGGCAGCAGUGAGGAAUAUUGGUCAAUGGCCGGAAGGCUGAACCAGCCAAGCCGCGUGAAGGACGAAGGUGCCAAGCAUUGUAAACUUCUUUUGUCAAGGGAUAAAAUGAGGCUCGAGAGCCUGACCGAGGGUACUUGAAGAAAAAGCAUCGGCUAACUCCGUGCCAGCAGCCGCGGUAAUACGGAGGAUGCGAGCGUUAUCCGGAUUUAUUGGGUUUAAAGGGGGCGUAGGCGGACUGUUAAGUCAGUGGUAAAAGGCCGGGGCUCAACCCAGGAGAGCCGUUGAAACUGGCAGUCUUGAGAUGUGGAGAGGUAUGCGGAAUGCGCAGUGUAGCGGUGAAAUGCUUAGAUAUGGCGCAGAACUCCGAUUGCGAAGGCAGCAUA
rnacentral:rRNA from 1 species